rnacentral:rRNA from 1 species
GCCUAAUACAUGCAAGUCGAGCGAACAGACGAGGAGCUUGCUCCUCUGACGUUAGCGGCGGACGGGUGAGUAACACGUGGAUAACCUACCUAUAAGACUGGGAUAACUUCGGGAAACCGGAGCUAAUACCGGAUAAUAUAUUGAACCGCAUGGUUCAAUAGUGAAAGACGGUUUUGCUGUCACUUAUAGAUGGAUCCGCGCCGCAUUAGCUAGUUGGUAAGGUAACGGCUUACCAAGGCAACGAUGCGUAGCCGACCUGAGAGGGUGAUCGGCCACACUGGAACUGAGACACGGUCCAGACUCCUACGGGAGGCAGCAGUAGGGAAUCUUCCGCAAUGGGCGAAAGCCUGACGGAGCAACGCCGCGUGAGUGAUGAAGGUCUUCGGAUCGUAAAACUCUG